rnacentral:tRNA from 1 species
CCGGCGCCGGGGGGCCCGGCGGCCGCGCCCGUCGGCGCUGCGGGCGCCGGGGCGGCCGUCCCUGCCGUCCCCUCGUGGUGUUCCGGAUCCGCACCGCGGGCC